AGUGAACGCUGGCGGUAGGCCUAACACAUGCAAGUCGAACGGCAGCACAGUAAGAGCUUGCUCUUACGGGUGGCGAGUGGCGGACGGGUGAGGAAUACAUCGGAAUCUACUUUUUCGUGGGGGAUAACGUAGGGAAACUUACGCUAAUACCGCAUACGACCUACGGGUGAAUGCAGGGGAUCUUCGGACCUUGCGCGAUUGAAUGAGCCGAUGUCGGAUUAGCUAGUUGGCGGGGUAAAGGCCCACCAAGGCGACGAUCCGUAGCUGGUCUGAGAGGAUGAUCGGCCACACUGGAACUGAGACACGGUCCAGACUACUACGGGAGGCAGCAGUGGGGAAUAUUAGACAAUGGGCGCAAGCCUGAUCCAGCCAUACCGCGUGGGUGAAGAAGGCCUUCGGGUUGUAAAGCCCUUUUGUUGGGAAAGAAAAGCAGCAGGUUAAUACCCCGCUGUUCUGACGGUACCCAAAGAAUAAGCACCGGCUAACUUCGUG
rnacentral:rRNA from 1 species